CCUCCUCUCCUCUACCCUCUACCCUCUGUUGAGCCAAACUUAGGCUUAACGAAACGUUUCUUUGGGUAAGUCGAAGAAACACAGCCUCAUCAUCUCCUUCAGAGAGUAGUUCCAAAGCUGCAAACUACUUGCAAUCUGCCUCGAGCAAUCUUUGUUUCUUUUGAUUCUACUUAAUUCUUACAACGAUUGAUCUUUUGUUAGCAAUUUUUCUGUAAAAAGUUUCUUUCUUCUAUCUUAGUUUUGCAAGUUGAUUUUUUUUUUUUUUUGCUUUUUUGUUCAAUCUGAAAAUUUAUCUCUACUUUUGGUUGAAGAAAUUUGCGGUUUUGGAUCUGGGCUUUUGUUUUGUUCCAUUUUAAUUAUAAGAAGAAGAUGAGUAACCAGAAGAAGAGGAAUUUUCAAAUAGAGGCGUUUAAACACCGAGUUGUGAUGGAUCCAAAAUAUGCAGACAGGACCUGGAAGAUUCUGGAGCAUGCAAUUCAUGAGAUUUACAAUCACAACGCUAGUGGUCUCAGUUUCGAAGAGCUUUACAGAAAUGCUUAUAACAUGGUGCUUCACAAAUUUGGUGAGAAGCUGUACGCUGGGUUGGUUAUUACUAUGACUGGACAUCUUAGAGAUAUAGCCAAAUCUGUUGAAGCUGCUCAAGGAGCUUCCUUUCUAGAAGAACUGAAUAGGAAAUGGAAUGAUCAUAAUAAGGCAUUGCAAAUGAUAAGAGACAUAUUGAUGUAUAUGGAUAGGACUUACAUCCCUAGCUCCCAGAAGACCCCUGUUCAUGAACUUGGGUUGAACCUGUGGAGAGAAAAUGUUAUUUACUCCAGUCAGAUUAGGACUCGAUUGUUGAGCACACUCCUGGAUUUAGUACAUAAAGAACGUACUGGUGAAAUGAUUGAUAGAGGGCUAAUGAGGAAUAUAACGAAGAUUCUAAUGGAUUUAGGUCCUUCUGUUUAUGGCCAAGAAUUUGAGAUUCAUUUUCUUCAGGUUUCAGCUGAGUUCUACAGAGUGGAAUCGCAGAGAUUCAUUGAAUGUUGUGAUUGUGGGGAUUACCUUAAGAAAGCUGAAAGGCAUUUGAAUGAGGAAAUAGAUAGAGUAAGCCAUUAUUUGGAUCCUAGGAGUGAAAAGAAAAUCACUAAUGUGGUGGAGAAGGAGAUGAUUGAAAAUCACAUGCUUACGUUAAUCCAUAUGGAGAAUUCUGGGUUGAUUAAUAUGCUUUGCGAUGAUAGAUAUGAAGAUUUGGGUAGAAUGUAUAAUUUGUUCCGUCGAGUUAAUGAUGGUCUUUCAAGAAUACGAGAAGUGAUGACUGGCCACAUCAGAGAGUCUGGGAAACAGCUUAUUUCUGAUCCAGAAAAGUUGAAGGACCCUGUGGAAUUUGUUCAGAGGCUUUUAGAUGAGAAAGACAAAUAUGACAAGAUUAUAAAUUUGGCAUUUAACAAUGACAAGUCUUUCCAGAAUGCCUUAAAUUCCUCAUUCGAAUACUUCAUUAACUUAAAUCCUCGAUCACCAGAGUUCAUUUCACUCUUUGUGGAUGAUAAGCUUCGUAAAGGUCUGAAGGGGGUUAGUGAGGAUGACAUGGAGAUUACUUUUGACAAGGUAAUGAUGCUGUUUCGAUUCUUGCAGGAAAAAGAUAUGUUUGAGAAGUACUACAAACAGCACCUGGCCAAACGGCUUUUGUCUGGAAAAACAGUUUCUGAUGAUGCGGAGAGAAGCCUCAUAGUUAAGCUCAAGACAGAAUGCGGUUAUCAAUUUACUUCCAAAUUGGAGGGCAUGUUUACAGACAUGAAAACCUCUCAAGACACAAUGCAAGGUUUUUAUUCCGGCCACCCAGAGCUAGCCGAUGGUCCUACAUUAACUGUUCAGGUUCUGACGACAGGUUCGUGGCCAACUCAGGCUCCGGUUACAUGCAACCUACCAGCUGAGAUGUUGGCACUAUGUGAGAAAUUUCGGUCCUAUUACCUUGGCACCCAUACCGGCAGGAGGUUGUCUUGGCAAACUAACAUGGGCACAGCAGACUUAAAAGCAAACUUCGCAAAAGGCCAGAAGCAUGAGCUAAAUGUCUCCACUUACCAAAUGUGUGUUCUGAUGCUGUUCAAUAAUGCCGAUAGACUGACCUACAAGGAAAUUGAGCAAGCAACUGAAAUUCCGGCUUCAGAUUUAAAGAGAUGCCUCCAAUCACUUGCUUUAGUUAAGGGAAGAAAUGUCCUGAGAAAGGAGCCUAUGAGUAAAGAAGUUGGUGAGGAUGACGCAUUCUUUGUUAAUGACAAGUUCAGUAGCAAAUUAUAUAAGGUGAAAAUUGGAACAGUGGUAGCACAAAAGGAAUCUGAGCCCGAGAAACAGGAAACUCGACAGAGAGUAGAGGAGGACAGGAAGCCUCAGAUUGAAGCAGCAAUUGUAAGGAUCAUGAAGUCGAGGAAACAACUUGAUCAUAACAAUCUUAUAGCUGAGGUCACAAAGCAGUUGCAAUCACGAUUCUUGGCAAAUCCAACAGAGGUAAUGCCAAUCGCCUUGCGUCAGUUGGAGUUCCUUAGGACUAUCCAAGUAUCCAUCAUAUAGAGAUUGGCUUGGCUAUUGGUAUGAAUCGAAUGAUUCCGUUAAAAUAUUGUUUGGUUGGGUUACCAGUGAUUCGAUUCCCCUUUCUUUGGAUUCUCCAUUACCACUGCCGAAGGAAAAAGGGAGGAUUGUAUCGAAGGUAAAUGAAAGGAUCUAGAGAACCAAAGAAGGAGUCAAAGACCUUGAAAAACAUCAUGGGGAGCUUAAAGUAGAAGGAUGCAGAAAUCCAAGCCAAGAGAAGAACAUGAAGGAAUCACCCUUGCUGGAUACUAUUGCCGUGACACAAGAUAUGGCCUUGCCAUGAUGAAUCCUUCGAAUUCUCAGGAAUACCUGUUGGUACCACUUCGUCGUGGUGAAGUGUUCAGACAGCAAAGCGCAGAGUUUCAAUUAGCUGACAUAGAGGGCUUCCAAAUUAGGUUAAAGGCUCAAAAAUUGAGGCAGUCACCUGUCAGACUUUAUCCAGAUUUGGCCUCCAUCACUUCCUCUCAACUCUCCACCACGUCCACCCAAAAAAUUCUUCAUUUUUACUUCAUCUCACCAUCAAUCUCUCAAUUCUGCACCGAUUAUUCUUCACCAUUCUAUCUCUACCCUACUUUCCAUACCAUUUCAUCAUCCCUAGCUGUCAAGAGUGCUGUAAUCGAUUGGAGCAAAAUUAGAGCUAUGAGUGGCUGGAGUUGGUGAUCUUUAGUGAUGGGGAUGCAAGCUUGAGCUCAUGGAUUGCACUAGGAGUUUCUAUUUCAAUCUUUGUGGUCAUGUAUAUUUGAACUUCUAGAUUUAGGGUUGAAUGCUAUAUUUACCACCUUGGAUAACUGAUCAGUUUUUCCUUGUGAUUGAUUUAUUUGUAUCUGAACCAAAUGAUGUAAUGUGUUUCUGAUUUAUAUAUGGCUUUAUCUUUUUACUUUGGCUUUUAA